UAUGGUCCUUUUGUUCCAGCAGCCGCGGUAAUACGUAGGGGGCAAGCGUUAUCCGGAUUUACUGGGUGUAAAGGGAGCGUAGACGGUGUGGCAAGUCUGAUGUGAAAGGCAUGGGCUCAACCUGUGGACUGCAUUGGAAACUGUCAUACUUGAGUGCCGGAGGGGUAAGCGGAAUUCCUAGUGUAGCGGUGAAAUGCGUAGAUAUUAGGAGGAACACCAGUGGCGAAGGCGGCUUACUGGACGGUAACUGACGUUGAGGCUCGAAAGCGUGGGGAGCAAACAGG
rnacentral:rRNA from 1 species